AACGAACGCUGGCGGCAGGCUUAACACAUGCAAGUCGAACGCUCCGCAAGGAGAGUGGCAGACGGGUGAGUAACACGUGGGAACGUACCCUUUACUACGGAACAACUCCGGGAAACUGGAGCUAAUACCGUAUGUGCCCUUUGGGGGAAAGAUUUAUCGGUAAAGGAUCGGCCCGCGUUGGAUUAGCUAGUUGGUGGGGUAAAGGCCUACCAAGGCGACGAUCCAUAGCUGGUCUGAGAGGAUGAUCAGCCACAUUGGGACUGAGACACGGCCCAAACUCCUACGGGAGGCAGCAGUGGGGAAUAUUGGACAAUGGGCGCAAGCCUGAUCCAGCCAUGCCGCGUGUGUGAUGAAGGCCUUAGGGUUGUAAAGCACUUUCACCGGAGAAGAUAAUGACGGUAUCCGGAGAAGAAGCCCCGGCUAACUUCGUGCCAGCCGCCGCGGUAA
rnacentral:rRNA from 1 species